rnacentral:misc_RNA from 1 species
GGAGGGAUCAUUAACAAACUCGCCCGUUCCUUGAUUGCGAACGCGGCCACACCAUGUGUCACCACGUACGCACGCACGGCGGGGAGUCAGAGGGCGCGCUGGCGCCCUUCUCCCCACGAGCGCGCGCACACAACACAACUUUGGUUGAAAACGAUUGACUUGAUCAUUUAUACAAUGUUGAAUGAAAUCAACUUUUAACAAUGGAUCUCUUGGCUCUCGCAACGAUGAAGAACGCAGCAAACGGCGAAACGUCAUGUGACCUGCAUGCUUUGCGAAUCAUCAAAUCUUUGAACGCAUCUUGCACCUGCGGCCCUGCGGCCCAGGUAUGCUUGUUUGAGUAUCGUGAUCAUCAUCACGCCAUGGGGACGCAGGCGUGGAGCUGAGGGUGAGUUGAUUCAGGCGCGCACCCGCACACAUAUACUGUGUGUGCGUGUGCGCGCCAGACUCUCCCUUCAAAGGCAGCACGGCGCCAAUGUGGUAACACCGUCAGAGGCAAAGUGUGAACGUGAACGUGAACGAGGUGGGCCGUGGACCGCAGUGAUGUGCGGCUCCAUGCGUGACCCAUAACACAAUCAUCAUCCAUCCAUCUCAAACAAGUAAGAGGACCCGCUGAACUUAAGCAUAUCAGUAAGCGGAGGAAAAGAAACUAACAAGGAUUCCCGGAGUAACGGCGAGUGAAAGGGGAAGAGCUCACGAUUGGAAUCGGGCGCGGCAACGCGACCGAGUUGUCAAUUAUAGGCUGUGCAUGCGGAAGCACGCGGGUCCCAAGUCGCCUGGAACGGCGCACCACAGAGGGUGAUAGUCCCGUUGGGGUCCGCGGCGUACACAUGCGACCGACCAAUCUUGCACAGCCGCAGAGUCGGGUUGCUUGGGAAUGCAGCCCAAAAUGGGUGGUACAACACAUCUAAAGCUAAAUAUAGGCGAGAGACCGAUAGCGAACAAGUACCGUGAGGGAAAGAUGAAAAGCACUUUGAAAAGAGAGUGAAACAGUACGUGAAAUUGUUAAAAGGGAAACGAUUGAGGCCAGUGGGGCGCGCGGUUCACGGGUCGCUUCGGCGGCCCGGCAGUCCGUGUCGCGGGUCGGCGGCCGCUUCGUGCGCCGGACACGACCGUCGGGAAGGUGGCCGUGCCGCAAGGCGCGCGCUUUAUAGACCGGCGGGCAUACGGUGUGCGGGGCGGUCAUUGCAUAUAUUGCUUCGCAAGGAGCGCCGACAAAAUGGUCUUAAACGACCCGUCUUGAAACACGGACCAAGGAGUCUAACAACUAUGCGAGUAUUCGAGUGUCAAACUUGGAUGCGCAAAGAAACUGAGCGCCUUGUGCGCGCGUGGGAGCGGUCCGCCUCGGCGGGUGCGUGCACCAUGGGCCGGUCCGGUCCUUGCGGCCAGAUCGCGCUGGAGCAUAUGUGUUGGGACCCGAAAGAUGGUGAACUAUGCCUGAAUAGGGCGAAGCCAGAGGAAACUCUGGUGGAGGCUCGUAGAGAUUCUGACGUGCAAAUCGAUCUUCGAAUUUGGGUAUAGGGGCGAAAGACUAAUCGAACCAUCUAGUAGCUGGUUCCCUC